ACCUACGGGGGGCAGCAGUGGGGAAUAUUGCACAAUGGGCGCAAGCCUGAUGCAGCGACGCCGCGUGAGCGAAGAAGUAUUUCGGUAUGUAAAGCUCUAUCAGCAGGGAAGAAAAUGACGGUACCUGACUAAGAAGCCCCGGCUAAAUACGGGCCAGCAGCCGCGGGAAUACGUAUGGGGCAAGCGUUAUCCGGAUUUACUGGGUGUAAAGGGAGCGUAGGCGGCCUGGCAAGCCUGAUGUGAAAUACCGGGGCCCAACCCCGGGGCUGCAUUGGGAACUGCCAGGCUGGAGUGCCGGAGAGGCA
rnacentral:rRNA from 1 species